AGUGCCCCGCUGUGGCCCAGCUGCUUUCCGGCACCCUCUCUGAUAACAGAGAGAGGGCGCCCCACACCUGCUUCUGAGACUGGCUCCUUAGGGAUGUUACUGUUGCCUCCUGGAUCCUGUGCAUGCUUGAGAAGGAUCCCCGGAACGAGACAUUAUUAUUUUCUCUUUUCUUCGCGGAAAAGAGGCUAAAAAUAGGCACAGAAGCACCUUACAGCCUCCAGGCUAGUGGCUGGAAAGUCACCGUUCAGAGGUUAACGCGCCAGCAUUAAGACAAAGUAAAGUAGCGAGCGCUCGCGAUGUCACGGACUUGCAGAGUAAAUAGGGGAGACAGGCUGCUCUGACGUGCUGAAUUUAUGAACUUUACUGUUCUGCUCCACCCAGAGCGCUCCCCUGCACUCAUGGGAUGCUGUUGCUGCAUUUGCAAGCCACUGUCUCUUUCACCUCUGAGGCGCUGCAUUUGCAAGCCACUGUCUUUCACCUCUGAGGCCUGGGAACCACAGCUCCCCUGGGGUCGCUCCUUGCAUGGCUUCCGGAGCCUCCAGGGAUCUUCAGGUCUCUCCAGGAACAAUGCUGUGAGCCCGAAACUGCAUUGUCUCAGCCGGAUGUUUUGAGGAGGAUCCAGGGCACGUUUGCCAGCUUCUAAACAGCAUAGCACAACAGCCCCGCUUCUGUGAGUCUCUGCUUUGUGAAUCUGCUUUCUGGACUUGUCCUUGCUCAGCACCCAAAUUAGCUUAACAAGCUACGGAAAUCUCAGCUCGACCUGGAGGCAGCAGUGGCAAGACAGAAACAGAGCUCCGAAUCAAUUGGCCAGAGGCGUGGGGGGUGGGGGAAGACAAAAGAAACAUUGUGUCAAAUUUAUUUUCUGUACUCUUGGGAUUGCAAGGAGAGCCUGAAAAUGCUCACAGCGAGAGUGACUAGGGCCGGCUUGGAUUUUUAGCUAAAAUAAACCAUAUUCAUGUCAAACU
rnacentral:lncRNA from 1 species